AACGAACGCUGGCGGCAGGCCUAACACAUGCAAGUCGAGCGAGGACUUCGGUCCUAGCGGCGGACGGGUGAGUAACGCGUGGGAACGUGCCCUUUGCUUCGGAAUAGCCCUGGGAAACUGGGAGUAAUACCGGAUGAGCCCUUUGGGGGAAAGAUUUAUCGGCGAAGGAUCGGCCCGCGUUGGAUUAGGUAGUUGGUGGGGUAAUGGCCUACCAAGCCGACGAUCCAUAGCUGGUUUGAGAGGAUGAUCAGCCACACUGGGACUGAGACACGGCCCAGACUCCUACGGGAGGCAGCAGUGGGGAAUCUUAGACAAUGGGGGAAACCCUGAUCUAGCCAUGCCGCGUGAGCGAUGAAGGCCUUAGGGUUGUAAAGCUCUUUCAGCUGGGUAGAUAAUGACGGUACCAGCAGAAGAAGCCCCGGCUAACUCCGUG
rnacentral:rRNA from 1 species